CAAGAGCGUAUAUUAAAGUUCCUGCGGUUAAAAAGCUCGUAAUUGGAUUUCAGUCUAGGAAGGUUCACUCGCCGAAAGGUUGUACGUUGAUUUUCCUCAGACUUCGUCAGAAGCUCGUGUUGCACUUAACUGUGUGGUACGAUGUUCUGACCUUUUACCUUGAGGAAAGUAGAGUGUUUCAGGCAGGCUACCCAGCUUGAAUACGAAGGUAUUCGUACUUGAGAGUGAGGAGUGAAAUCCGAUGAUCUCUUAAAGACGAUCCGAGGCGAAAGCAUUUGUCAAGGAUGUUUUCAUUGA
rnacentral:rRNA from 1 species